CCGCAGGCCCGCUCUGUCGCCGCCGGGUGACCGGGGGAGGAAAGUCCGGGCAACGCAGAGCGCCGCGCAAGCUAACGACUUGAUAUCCGUGAGGGUAUGGGAGCGUAACAGAGAACGACCGCCUGCCGGGUUUCCCGGCCGGUAAGGGUGAAAAGGCGGGGUAAGAGCCCACCGCGGGGGCAGCGAUGCCGCCCGGCCGUACGUCCCGCGGGUUGCAAGACCGUGUAUACCGGCAAACGAGGGCUGCUCGUCCGAUGCCGGGGGGUAGGUUGCUGGAGACGGCGGGUGACCGCCGUCGUAGAUAAAUGACAGGGGCCCGGAACGCGAGUUUCGGGAACAGAACCCGGCUUACAGGGCCUGCAAAAAA
rnacentral:RNase_P_RNA from 1 species